GCCCGGCUGGCUCAGUUGGUGGAGCAUGAGACUUCUGAUCUCAGGGUUGUGAGCGUGAGCCCCAUGUUGGGGG
rnacentral:tRNA from 1 species